rnacentral:lncRNA from 1 species
CAACAAGACUUGCCCAUAAUUCUGAAUAGCUCUUCACUGCCUUAGCCCAAUUCAAAACAUCUCAAAGAGUGACAACUUGACCUGAAAGAUUUAUAUAACAAUGGAGUGAGCUAAAAACAGCUCAGCAAGUGACAAAGUAUAUUCAAAACAAAAAGAACGGUUUCAAACAAGUAAGAUAUCAUAAUGCAAGGCAGAAUACAAGAAUUCUCAAGGAUACCAUCUCAUUAGAUACAAAAUCAUAUGUGUCAUGUCAUUCAAAACCCAUUUGGUUCAUAACAGAUGGAGCAUAGAGUAAUUGGAGCAUAUCAAUAGCGUAUGAAAUGUUCCGGAGCAUAUCAACUACAUAUGGAACAUUUCGAAGCAUAACAAUAGCAAAUGAAACAUUUCGGAGCAUAUCAAAGGCGUAUGAAAUAUUUCGGAGCAUAUCAAUGAUAAAUGAAACAUUUCAGAACAUAUCAAUGACGUAUGGACCAUUUCGGAGCAUUUCAAAGAACGAAUACGAAACAGAAGCUCAAACGUCGAAUUGACGUUGCAUUCAUUUCAUUCUUAUCCAAAGCAUGUAUAGAAACACAUAACCAAAGCUCUGGAUACCAUAUCAAACAUACAGAAGGUGAAGUGGGACUAUAACAUAAUAUGGUACAUCCAUUUUUGAAUGGCCACCAAACAUAAGUCUCCCACAUCUGGGAGGUCUCCCACGUCUGGGAGCUCCAUCCACCGACGUCUGAGUGAAGUCAUAAGGGCCGGCAGAGCAUCACAGGCUCUAUGCAUAACUCCCUUCACCAUUUCUGGCAAAGGUUCACAAUAUCCCACAAACACCAGAGUACAAAGGGACAGUAUGAACAAUAAAUAGCACAUAUCGGAAGCACACGCGGAACAACAAAACGUACAUGUGCCUAUACGAGUCAAUACGAAGUAAGCAAUAAUCUUUCACAAUUGUAUUCAGAUUUGAAAGGAAAUGAAAGCAAGAGCAUUCAAGGAUUCCAAGCAAUCACAUAUAACUCAAUUCAGAUAAGAAGGUUAGAUGAAUUCAAUGUCCAAAGGAAUGAAAUGGAAUAGGCACAUAUCGAAAGCAAAUGCGGAACAAUGGGAUAUACAUGUGCCUAUAUGAGUCAAUACGAUAUAGCAUAAAUGUUACACAAUAGUUUUCAAGAAUGCAAAUAAUUUUAAGGACAAGAGCAUACAAGAAUUCAAAGCGGUAAUAUAAAGCUCAAUUGAAUAAAAAAGCUAAAAGAUAUCAAUUUCCAAAGGAAUGAAACCAGAAUAUGCGAAAUCGAGCUUUGGUCGAUUUCUGGCAGAAUUCAAGAGGCACAUUGAACAAAUGAUUCAAACUAUCAAUCGUGCUCCAAUUUACUCAGAAAUAUAUCAUUGGAAAGAUAUUUCAAUCUACUUUCAGAUAAAACAAGCUUCAUAUGAAUUGAACUGUCCAACAGAGAGUUACAAAUAAUUUGGUAAACAAGGGUCGGAGAACAAAAUCUCUGUUUGGCAGAAUUCAUAAGGUCAGAUUCAACAGAUAACUGAGCAGGUGUUUGGACUCCAAAAUUUUCAAUCCAUAUAUCAAAAGAAAGAUCUACGAGUCUAGUUUCUAAUGAAAUCAGUUUUGAACAAAUCGGAGUUUCCAAAAUCGACUUAUAGGCAGCUCGGUAUCAAAAGGUCAGAAAUUACAAUCCCUGUUUUGUAGAAUAUCUAGGCUCAUUUGAAACAGAAGUUUGGGCAGGCACACUUACUCCGAAUUCUUAAAAUAAGCUAUCAAAACAAAGGUUUGUGAGUCUAUAUUCUGAUCAAAUAAGUUUUGUCCAAAUCAGAGGUCAACACAUGAAGUUAUAACCAUAACAAGGUAGAAAGGUCAGAAUCUCAGAAGUUGCACAGAUUCGAAUCGUUACGUUUAAACAGGAGAUAUAUCAAAUGCAAGGCUAGAACAAUUCAAAGUUCCUCAUAUUCAAAGCAAAUGUAGAGAUAAAAUUGCAGUAAGGAAAGAUCAAGGUACUUGCAAUAGGAAAGAUUAGAAAGCUUGCAAUAGGAAGGAUCGGAACACUUGCCUUUCAAAGAUUUUGAUCCGAAGAUCCAAAGAAGGUGUCAACCCAAAUCCUUCUACUUUUCCUCCGUGUCCUCUCCCUGUUUCGUGUUCUACAUAUGUCUUCUCUUUUUCCUCCACAACUGUAGCUCAUGCAGAACAU